rnacentral:rRNA from 1 species
UACGUAGGGUGCAGGCGUUAAUCGGAAUUAUUGGGCGUAAAGAGCUCGUAGGCGGUUUGUCGCGUCUGCUGUGAAAUCCCGAGGCUCAACCUCUGGUCUGCAGUGGGUACGGGCAGACUGGAGUGCGGUAGGGGAGAAUGGAAUUCCUGGUGUAGCGGUGGAAUGCGCAGAUAUCAGGAGGAACACCGAUGGCGAAGGCAGUUCUCUGGGCCGUAACUGACGCUGAGGAGCGAAAGCGUGGGGAGCGAACAGG